UACGAAGGGGGCUAGCGUUGCUCGGAAUCACUGGGCGUAAAGGGUGCGUAGGCGGGUUAUUAAGUCAGAGGGGAAAUCCUGGAGCUCAACUCCAGAACUGCCUUUGAUACUGAUAGUCUUGAGUAUGGGAGAGGUGAGUGGAACUGCGAGUGUAGAGGUGAAAUUCGUAGAUAUUCGCAAGAACACCAGUGGCGAAGGCGGCUCACUGGCCCAUUACUGACGCUGAGGCACGAAAGCGUGGGGAGCGAACAGG
rnacentral:rRNA from 1 species